UCCCUCGUGGCUCAGAUGGUAAAGUAUCUGCCUGUAAUGCAGGAGACCCAGGUUCGAUCCCUGGAUCGGGAA
rnacentral:tRNA from 1 species